CCUACUUGUUAGCUGCCUUAUAACUAUCAUCCUUCUGAUGAAAUAACAGCAUUACAGCUGUUAGUUACGUCAAGACAUUAAUCUCAAGAUGCAAGUACUGAGCUUUAACGGAUUUCAAUUUACAUAAGCAAGACAACCAAUUCUGUUGUUGAUGAGAAAACCAACUACACACCCAGCUAUGAAUGGUCUUAGUCAUUGGUGAAGAAAACCACUUGCCUUACAUGAGGCCAUCACUAUCGCGUAAGAAUUGUGGUUCAGUGACGAUCCCGAAGUGUCAAACAAACUGAAGUUUAAGCAGUGGAACGGAAAAAAGUGAAGUUUGUUCUUCGAUCAGGAUGAAUUCUACUGCAGUCCAGUGGAAUUAGUUGCCAAAGAACAUGGUGGUGUUUCAGUUGUGCGAGGACAUCAUGUAGUUAAACUGGACAUUGCUGGUCGCAAAGCUGAGUUA